rnacentral:rRNA from 1 species
GACGAACGCUGGCGGCGUGCUUAACACAUGCAAGUCGAACGGAAAGGCCCUGCUUUUGUGGGGUGCUCGAGUGGCGAACGGGUGAGUAACACGUGAGUAACCUGCCCUUGACUUUGGGAUAACUUCAGGAAACUGGGGCUAAUACCGGAUAGGAGCUCCUGCUGCAUGGUGGGGGUUGGAAAGUUUCGGCGGUUGGGGAUGGACUCGCGGCUUAUCAGCUUGUUGGUGGGGUAGUGGCUUACCAAGGCUUUGACGGGUAGCCGGCCUGAGAGGGUGACCGGCAACAUGGGACCUAGGAUAGGGCCCAGACUCCUACGGGAGGCAGCGGUGGGGAAUAUUGCACAAGGGGCGGAAGCCUGAUGCAGCAACGCCGCGUGCGGGAUGACGGCCUUCGGGUUGUAAACCGCUUUCGCCUGUGACGAAGCGUGAGUGACGGAAAUGGGUAAAGAAGCACCGGCUAACUACGU